GGCACAGUGGUGCAGUGGGUAGCACUGUUGCCUCACAGCAUGAAGGUUGCAGGUUCAAAUCAAUCCUGGGCGU